rnacentral:rRNA from 1 species
UACGUAGGGUGCAAGCGUUAAUCGGAAUUACUGGGCGUAAAGCGUGCGCAGGCGGUUUUGUAAGUCUGUCGUGAAAGCCCCGGGCUCAACCUGGGAAUUGCGAUGGAGACUGCAAGGCUUGAAUCUGGCAGAGGGGGGUAGAAUUCCGACGUGUAGCAGUGAAAUGCGUAGAGAUGUGGAGGAACACGAUGGCGAAGGCAGCCCCCUGGGUCAAGAUUGACGCUCAUGACACGAAAGCG